UCGUCUUUAUCUAACCUUGAAACUUCAAUCCCAGAUUUGUUUCCUGGCUUCCUUCUCGCCGAUUAGCUAUUUUUGUUUCUAGUUUAUUGAAAUUUUGCUUGGUAAUUGUUUUUUUGUUUGUUUCUAGUUUAUCAAAUCUUUGUUAGGUAAUGGUUUUUUUUCUAAAAAACUUGAAUCCGAUCUUCUUUUAUCGUUUCUGCAAUUUUGGUUUGUUGUUGUUUGAUUUGCCCAAUGAUGCAUAAAAUUAUGUUAUAGAGCGGUUGUAUUUGGGUAAUCUCCGGCGUGUUGUUUUAACCUAAUAGCCUUGAACGCCGUCGUUUCGUCUCCGACGACAUUCACACGCGCACACUUCCACCCUUACCAUCUAUCCGUCUCACACGUGCGUCGGAUGCGAAACGGUGGUGUUCAGGGAUUUUUUAGGUUGCCGGAUUUUACCCAUUUACUCUAAGCCGUGAAUGAUCAAAUUUAUAGCUAUGAGAUCUGAGGGCUUUGUUUUUUAAUUAAAGUUUCGGUUUUUAUGUUUUGGUUUGUCUUUGCCCAUUGAUGUAAGAAAUCAUUUCUGAGUGGUGCCCUGGUUUUUGAAUGUUCUUCUCGUAGUUACCAUUGUUGCUCCUCAUCAUCAUUAUCAUCAUCAUCAUCUCAACAGUCUUCUUCUUCUUCUUCUUCCUCUGCUUCUUGUGUUCUCUGCUGCUGCUGCUACUACUGGUUUCUUGCAAUGGUAACUUUGAGUAUAUUUGAAAACCUGAUUUUGAUGCGCCGUAUAUGACAGAUUUUUGUGAAUACUGAGGGCUAUUUUUCUUUUAUCACUAAUCUUUGUUGUUUGGUAUUGAUGUAGUUAAUCAUUUGUAGUUGUAUGUUGUUAUUUUUGGUGAGAUUUAAGCCCUGUGAUGAUGACUCUAAUGAGUUUGAGUGGUGCCGCUUGGUUUUUUCUUGCUGAGACUCAUUAUCUUUGUUGCUGCUCCUGCUUCUCUGUCUCUGUCUCUCUUUCUCUCUCUCUCUCUCUCUCUCUCUAUAUAUAUAUAUAUAUACACAUACACACAUACAUGUUUGGUUGCAGCGAUGGAGAUAUGAUCUUAAUGGUCUUUGGCAUAGAAGAAGCCAAUGCGUUGUGCCAUCUAUGACUAAGUUGUAAAACAAUUGUCUUUUAAGACCUGAGGGCUUGAUUCUCUGUUUUUUUCUUUCUUAAUUUGUCUAUUACUGAAAGUGAAGGAGUUUGAAAUUUUGGGUUUUAAUCUGUCCAAUCGUUGUUCUCAUAUCUAUCAGUUCUAGUCAAUAGAUAUCUGGUUUCUAUGUUAGUAAUAUUGAUUCUUUAAAGUCGGAAAAUUAAAUCCUAGACGCUGAAGCGUUGGAGCAAACAUUCGAGAUUGUUUGGACUGCUUAAGAACUGCGGCUAAUGCUUAAUUGAUAUCUUAACAAGGCUUGAGCCUCAGGGUAGUGGUGUAUUGAGCGUAUUACCAAGUUUGAUCCUUUGUUUCUCGCUGUUACGCGAGAUAGUAAAAUUGUAACCCUUGAGAUGGCUUUGUUCAGAAACGGGUUAACUAGACUAGUUGGCCCAAUAUACAUAUUUACCUCAGCUUGAUUAAAUGCCCGUGAACUGAACUUGAAGAUCUGAGAACUUAACACUAUAAGACCCGAUGGCAUGAAACAUUAUCAGCUUUUGGAUUAUUUUGUCAUAAAUUAAGCAAACAAUAUCCAAAAAAGUGUGGAGACUGG